rnacentral:rRNA from 1 species
AACGAACGCUGGCGGCAUGCCUAACACAUGCAAGUCGAACGAGACCUUCGGGUCUAGUGGCGCACGGGUGCGUAACGCGUGGGAACCUGCCCUUAGGUUCGGAAUAACUCAGAGAAAUUUGAGCUAAUACCGGAUAAUGUCUUCGGACCAAAGAUUUAUCGCCUUUGGAUGGGCCCGCGUAGGAUUAGCUUGUUGGUGGGGUAAUGGCCUACCAAGGCGACGAUCCUUAGCUGGUCUGAGAGGAUGAUCAGCCACACUGGGACUGAGACACGGCCCAGACUCCUACGGGAGGCAGCAGUGGGGAAUAUUGGACAAUGGGCGAAAGCUUUAUCCAGCAAUGCCGCGUGAGUGAUGAAGGCCUUAGGGUUGUAAAGCUCUUUUACCAGGGAUGAUAAUGACAGUACCUGGAGAAUAGGCUCCGGCUAACUCCGUGCCAGCCGCCGCGGUAACAC